GUCUUCUCUUCCGUUCACAAAUUGUUACCUUUUAUUCGUUCAUGGUGUUUGAUUUAUUGUCAAAAGUGCGGGUUUUGGUGAAUCAUUAAUUGGUCCGGUGAAAGGUGUUGAUAGUUAUUUCUGGGUUGUUUACUUCUUGAAUCUUUUACCGUGUACCGUGUUAGAUGUAGUUUUCUGAGUUUCAUAACCUCAAAUGAAUUUACAAGUGGAACUGCUUUUGGUCAUUGAGCUUGUGGUUAAGAAAAGUACCUAUCUUUGAUUCGGUUGUCUCCAACUACCAAGGAGUUCUGUUACAUGAAAAGUUAAAAGUCGUCAUCUUAUCUUGACCUAAAACCUUAAAGACAAUAAUUUUAUGGUCCUUUCCACUUCUAGUAGUAUAGUAAUGGUAAUUUGGCUUCCACCAAAGUCCAAGGGUAACAUCUACACUGUAUCUGGUUGGGCUGCUUUUUGUGAGAUUUGGUAUGUAAAUGUGUGUGUUUUGUGGUGAUUUUGCAGAUGCAUUAGUUCAGUUUGCCAUAGUUAAUUUCUGUUUUGUAGUCAAUCUUGCUUUCUCCACAAAUUAUCCUCUUGUUGGUUAGUUAUGGUAAAUGUUUAUUUGUCCCUCAAUGCAUGUCAUUCAGUUAUUUACACCCAAGUGGAUGAAAAUAAACUAUUAAAUAUGUAGUACAACAACAUGGCAUAGAUAAUAGGAAACUCAGUAGCUAAACCAUUCACAUGCUUACCUCUCACUUAUCACUAUAAUACUGAAGAAGAAUUAAAUGUUAUAUUGAGGUUAAAAAAAGUCACAUAUACAGAGAGAUAGGAGUAGGAUUAUGAAUGGAAAAAGCUUAAUUGAUAAGAAUUACAAAACUUUCAGUUGAUCUGACUGUGAUACAGCUAACACAGUUGGAGAAUAAACUGAGACCGAGCUCAAAGAAAAGAAACUGAGAGUUGAAGAUGCUCUUGAUGCUACAAAG